ACCAGCUCCGAGAUCACCACCAAGGAUUUAGAGGAGAAUUGUGGAGGAGGCAGAGAAUAGAAGAGAUGCACCUGCUAAUGGGAAGGCUCAUGAGGAAAAUGGGGGGCAGGAGGCCAAGAAGGAAGAUGAAGAAGAUCGUGAAGGGAAAGAG